AGAGUUUGAUCCUGGCUCAGGAUGAACGCUGGCGGCGUGCUUAACACAUGCAAGUCGAACGAUGAUGCCAGCUUGCUGGUGGAUUAGUGGCGAACGGGUGAGUAACACGUGAGUAACCUGCCCUUAACUCUGGGAUAAGCCUGGGAAACUGGGUCUAAUACCGGAUAUGACUCCUCAUCGCAUGGUGGGGGGUGGAAAGCUUUUUGUGGUUUUGGAUGGACUCGCGGCCUAUCAGCUUGUUGGUGAGGUAAUGGCUCACCAAGGCGACGACGGGUAGCCGGCCUGAGAGGGUGACCGGCCACACUGGGACUGAGACACGGCCCAGACUCCUACGGGAGGCAGCAGUGGGGAAUAUUGCACAAUGGGCGCAAGCCUGAUGCAGCGACGCCGCGUGAGGGAUGACGGCCUUCGGGUUGUAAACCUCUUUCAGUAGGGAAGAAGCGAAAGUGACGGUACCUGCAGAAGAAGCGCCGGCUAACUACGUGCCAGCAGCCGCGGUAAUACGUAGGGCGCAAGCGUUAUCCGGAAUUAUUGGGCGUAAAGAGCUCGUAGGCGGUUUGUCGCGUCUGCCGUGAAAGUCCGGGGCUCAACUCCGGAUCUGCGGUGGGUACGGGCAGACUAGAGUGAUGUAGGGGAGACUGGAAUUCCUGGUGUAGCGGUGAAAUGCGCAGAUAUCAGGAGGAACACCGAUGGCGAAGGCAGGUCUCUGGGCAUUAACUGACGCUGAGGAGCGAAAGCAUGGGGAGCGAACAGGAUUAGAUACCCUGGUAGUCCAUGCCGUAAACGUUGGGCACUAGGUGUGGGGGACAUUCCACGUUUUCCGCGCCGUAGCUAACGCAUUAAGUGCCCCGCCUGGGGAGUACGGCCGCAAGGCUAAAACUCAAAGGAAUUGACGG
rnacentral:rRNA from 1 species